CGAGUUUGAGCCCAUCCACAAAGAUCAGUCCAUCUUAGUGUCUCGUCACUCUGUUAAAGACUAUGUUCUCUUCGCCUACAGGGAUGGAGGAGAGGCGGCAAUAUUCAAUGCUAAAGGUGGAGUUGUGUCUCUAUACAAGCCGUAGAGAUCAGCUCUCAGUAUUUACUGCUCUUCUGCAGAUACCCCUAUCAAAGUGAAAUCAUUCACAUUGAACUCUUCAGCACAGCAUCCUUCCAGUACCUGCGCGCUACCUUGGGUUGCAGCCAGGACUACAUUUCACAGGUCACAUUGUGGCAUUUUGUCCCGCCCCUCACAGUACCAUCACAGAUUAUUAUCUGGAACCUUGAGACUGAAGACCAUAAACACAUUACACAGUUUCCUGGCCUGUUGGCUCAUGGUGUGUGUUCUGACCUGCGGUACUGUGUAGGUUUCUGUCCCAGGGAGUGAUUCUUACGGAUGUGGAACCUGGGAUCCAGAAUAAAUGACCAAACACUCACAUACAAUGUGCACAAAGCACAUAGCGACGGCACAGCGUUGAUUGUAACCAUGCAGAGAUAUCCAAGGUACAAAGUCCUCUGAACAGCUCACAUACAUAUGGCCACUCUAUUUGCAGUUUAUAA
rnacentral:lncRNA from 1 species